UUCCGGCCUCCUUUCCUCCGCCUUUUUCCAAGGCUCCCCCAGCUAGCGAAAUCGGGUGCUGGUGUGAAUUGUUUUUUGGUGAAAUUCUACUUGAUCUCGCACGAGCCUAUCUAGGCCCGACUCUGGAAUGGCCUGUCAUCGAUCGCUUCUACCAUCGCUCAGCGACUCAAGUGGAGGCCCAAGGACUACAGUCUGCAUGAAGAAACAGCUCAGAUUUGACCAAGACCACAUAAAUAGGAGUUGGGAAAUUGGAACCAACAAUGACUGACUCCAAAUUAAUAGUGUUUAUAGCCAAAUAUAAUGAGGGUGUUGCUAUGCUUUCCUCUGUACAAGCUGGUGGGGUAUCAAUUCGUUCUUCCUUAACUUUGGGACUUUCACAGGGUUCCUGCAAUUCGUUUUUGACAAUGUUCAACAUAAUGUUCAAGGGGUUUUCAACUGGUGUCUUGCUGGGAGAUGGUGUACAAUCAAAUGACGACGUCUACAAAAUGAAAAGCCCUUUAAGUACUGAUGAAAGUUCAGAAUUACCAUAUGAAAUAGCAUCUAGUUUUAUAAGACCCUAGUAUUGAUAAAGGAACACACAUAUACCAAAUGCAACUGAAGUACUUGCUUC